UACGUAGGGUGCAAGCGUUAAUCGGAAUUACUGGGCGUAAAGCGUGCGCAGGCGGUUUUGUAAGCCAGAUGUGAAAUCCCCGGGCUUAACCUGGGAAUGGCAUUUGGGACUGCAAGGCUGGAGUGCGGCAGAGGAGACUGGAAUUCCUGGUGUAGCAGUGAAAUGCGUAGAUAUCAGGAGGAAUACCGAUGGCGAAGGCAGGUCUCUGGGCAGUAACUGACGCUGAGGAGCGAAAGCGUGGGGGAGCGAACAGG
rnacentral:rRNA from 1 species